CCGUGUCAUAUUGCCAAAGCAUAUUCUCUAUACUAUCUCAUUCCGUUCCAGGUUAUAAAACACCCCCUUAAAACGUCCCGUCCUCUUCGUUCUUACGUCUAUUAGGAGAAUAUAUAUUCAUCCUAGGACGCGUGGUUGAAAUUAUUUUUCACGAGGAUAACGCAACCGGCGAGACAAAUGAAAACCAGUUUCCCACCCACCCCCCCUCCGACGUUGAAAAUGUUUGGAAAGCCAACGAAUCCCUCAUUCCCAUCGUCAGCUCCG
rnacentral:misc_RNA from 1 species